rnacentral:rRNA from 1 species
AGCGAUCGCUGGCGGCAGGCCUAACACAUGCAAGUCGAACGAACUCUUCGGAGUUAGUGGCGGACGGGUGAGUAACAUGUGGGAACGUGCCUUUAGGUUCGGAAUAACUCAGGGAAACUUGUGCUAAUACCGAAUGUGCCCUUCGGGGGAAAGAUUUAUCGCCUUUAGAGCGGCCCGCGUCUGAUUAGCUAGUUGGUGAGGUAAAGGCUCACCAAGGCGACGAUCAGUAGCUGGUCUGAGAGGAUGAUCAGCCACAUUGGGACUGAGACACGGCCCAAACUCCUACGGGAGGCAGCAGUGGGGAAUCUUGCGCAAUGGGCGAAAGCCUGACGCAGCCAUGCCGCGUGAAUGAUGAAGGUCUUAGGAUUGUAAAAUUCUUUCACCGGGGACGAUAAUGACGGUACCCGGAGAAGAAGCCUCGGCUAACUCCGUGCCAGCCGCCGCGGUAA